UACGUAGGGGGCAAGCGUUGUUCGGAAUGACUGGGCGUAAAGGGUGCGUAGGCGGUGUAGCAAGUUAGAAGUGAAAUACCUAGAGCUUAACUCAGGUGCUGCUUCUAAAACUGCUAUACUUGAGUGCAGUAGAGGAAAGUGGAAUUCCUAGUGUAGCGGUGGAAUGCGUAGAUAUUAGGAGGAACAUCAGUGGCGAAGGCGACUUUCUGGACUGUAACUGACGCUGAGGCACGAAAGUAUGGGGAGCAAACAGG
rnacentral:rRNA from 1 species